ensembl:snoRNA
UCUCUUUUGCGGUUCACAAGUGUGAUGAUUUUGUUUGCAUGUUAAUGAGUGAGAUGAGCCUUCCUCAAACCUUGCUACUACAUCAGCACCACAUUACCCAUCCAAUG